ACCCAGGUGGCUCAGUGGUUAAGAAUCUGCCUGCCAAGCAGGAGAUGCAGGUUCGAUUCUUGGCUUGGGAA
rnacentral:tRNA from 1 species